rnacentral:rRNA from 1 species
GACGAACGCUGGCGGCGUGCUUAACACAUGCAAGUCGUACGGUAAGGCCCUUUCGGGGGUACACGAGUGGCGAACGGGUGCGUAACACGUGAGUAACCUGCCCACAACUUUGGGAUAACGCUAGGAAACUGGUGCUAAUACUGGAUAUGUGCUCCUGCUGCAUGGUGGGGGUUGGAAAGCUCCGGCGGUUGUGGAUGGACUCGCGGCCUAUCAGCUUGUUGGUGGGGUAGUGGCCUACCAAGGCGGCGACGGGUAGCCGGCCUGAGAGGGUGACCGGCCACAUUGGGACUGAGAUACGGCCCAGACUCCUACGGGAGGCAGCAGUGGGGAAUAUUGCACAAUGGGCGCAAGCCUGGUGCAGCAACGCCGCGUGCGGGAUGACGGCCUUCGGGUUGUAAACCGCUUUCAGCAGGGACGAAGCUUUUUGUGACGGUACCUGCAGAAGAAGCACCGGCUAACUACGUG